rnacentral:lncRNA from 1 species
UCUUUUUCUUCAAUAAAAACUUGUCUUGCAUAUUGCUGUCAUUAAAGGCAGUUGUUCCUAAAAUUUCAAUCACUUAAGUACACCCACAAAACAAAAAUAUGGAGUUCUUCAUUCCCCGACAACUUGGAUUUACCCAGUUAUACCUCAGUGUUGUGGCAGCACCAUGGUGUCUGAAGGACACGGUGCUUUGACCUAAUCGUACCCGUUGUACUGACCUGAAGGAGACCUAAUCCUUUCUCUUUAUGAAUUUGAAUCACAGCCUUGAUGUGGUCUUUCUUGUUUUUUGUCCUUGUUCCUAAUGUAAAAGUGUUUAACUGCUUCCUGGUUGUAUUGGGUGGCAUUGGAAUAAGAUUUUAACUGGGUAUUCUUGAAUUGCUUUUACAAUAAACCAAUUUUAUAAUCUUUAAAUUUAUCAGCUUUUUACAUUUGUGUUCUUUUUAGUUAGGGCUUAUUAGAUCUACUUAUGGUUAAUGGAGCAUAUUGAUUUGUAGUUUCAGAUUUUCCAGAGCACUAUUUGUUAUAAUAACUAUUUUCUAAACAACAGUGCUUUAAAAAAAAUUAGAAAGUAACUUUUAUACAAAUGAUGUUGCUGUUUUAAGUAUUCAUACUAAAUAGAUGCAUUUUAUAUGGAACCU